rnacentral:rRNA from 1 species
AUUGAACGCUGGCGGCAGGCCUAACACAUGCAAGUCGAGCGGAGCGGCGGACGGGUGAGUAAUGCCUAGGAAUCUGCCUGGUAGUGGGGGAUAACGUCCGGAAACGGGCGCUACUACCGCAUACUAUCAGAUGAGCCUAGGUCGGAGUAGCUAGUUGGUGGGGUAAAGGCCUACAAAGGCGACGAUCCGUAACUGGUCUGCGAGGAUGAUCAGUCACACUGGAACUGAGACACGGUCCAGACUCCUACGGGAGGCAGCAGUGGGGAAUAUUGGACAAUGGGCAAAAGCCUGAUACAGCCAUGCCGCGGUUGUUAAGAAGGCCUUCGGAUUGUAAAGCGCGUUAGGUUGGGAGGCAGUACCAGCAGAAGAUACACCGGCUAACUUCGUGCCAGCCGCCGCGGUAAUAC